UACGGGGGGGGCAAGCGUUGUUCGGAAUUACUGGGCGUAAAGGGCUCGUAGGUGGCCAACUAAGUCAGACGUGAAAUCCCUCGGCUUAACCGGGGAACUGCGUCUGAUACUGGAUGGCUUGAGUUUGGGAGAGGGAUGCGGAAUUCCAGGUGUAGCGGUGAAAUGCGUAGAUAUCUGGAGGAACACCGGUGGCAAAGGCGGCAUCCUGGACCAACACUGACACUGAGGAGCGAAAGCCAGGGGAGCAAACGGG
rnacentral:rRNA from 1 species